UUGGUGAAUUACCGCCACCUACUGGACAGGAGUGUGGCGCAUUGAAAGAAGGUUUUUUUUGUUUGUUUUUUGUUUUUAAAUUAUGGGUUCAGUUAAUGUGUCUAUCGACUUAAAUAUUAAAAUACUGCUCCCCUUCCGUGGCGAACACGCUUUGCAGCCUAACAAAAAACUUCAGAGACGGAGUGUUAGUAGAUGUCAAAAAGUAAUUCAACUUUAUUGAAACAAUAAUGUGAGACAGUCUGCAGAAAGUCUAAAUUAUACAUACACAAACAUGUCUUUAUAUACCUUUCUGAAGCAGUAAAAUUAUCCCUAGGCUUGGCAUUCACCUUUUCUUUCCAGAAACAAAUCUCCAUUGCCUUAACUAAUUAUUCAUAUCCACAUGAUACCUUUUAUAUGUGGCGCAUGCGUUGUCAGUUGUAUUUUCUUUAAAAGUUUUACCAGACCAGGGUUUUUUUACUUUGUCCCAUAAUUCACCCUAUAGUCUCAGCCUGGUACCCUUCCUCCUGGAAAUCUUAUCUUUUCUUUUGACACUGAUUUGCAAGCUUAGAGGGCUUUGUUUGGAAACCCAGUUCUGGAAUGGAUAAAUACUGUCGUUGGACCUGCGUUAAGGAAUCUCACUACCCAAGGUGUUUUACUCUAUAGCACUCGCUUCACUACGCAUUGUUUUCAUACACCCACCAGGCGGCGAUGGCACCAUAGUGCUUGGGCCCGUCCUUGCUGUAUUUUUUUCUUCGUUCUUCAAAAGUGGCGUAGCUAAAUUUCUUCACUAAAUUAAUUAAAUUGUGUUCACCAUAUGUUUGAGGUUUAUCUCAUUUUAUCUAAUAUUAAACGCAAAACAACUCCAGAGGUUCAGCUGCUCAUGUUGUGCAAGAGAGAGAGAGAGAGAGAGAGAGAGAGAGUAUACAUGUUUUCUAAAUUGUAAUACUUCUCUGUAUACAGACUGAAACAAGAAUGAGCAAACAUUCUUGAGGCCAUUAACAAUCUCAUAUGGUGGAAAACUUCAGAGUACAGUUUAAGCAGAACACUGCUAUGAUUGCAGAGCUGUCUAAAAGCAUAGAAUUAAACACAAAAGAGAUAAAAGAGUGCAAGACCACAGUUACUGCACUUGGAAAAGAUGUGACCAACCUUGAGAAGGAAAAUGUCUACUUAAAGGAGAGAGUACAGGGAACUGGAGCAUUACAAACGCCAUUGGAACAAGAUGAAAAUGU